rnacentral:rRNA from 1 species
UACGGAGGAUCCGAGCGUUAUCCGGAUUUACUGGGCGUAAAGGGAGCGUAGGCGGCUUUUAAGUCAGCGGUGAAAUUUUGCAGCUUAACUGUAACAGUGCCGUUGAUACUGGGGAGCUAGGAUUUGGUUGCUGUGGGUGGAAUGUGUGGUGUAGCGGUGAAAUGCUUAGAGAUCACACAGAAUAUCGAUUGCGAAGGCAGCUCACAAAGCCAAGAUUGACGCUGAGGCACGAAAGUGUGGGGAUCAAACAGGAUUA